rnacentral:rRNA from 1 species
AACGAACGCUGGCGGCAUGCCUAACACAUGCAAGUCGAACGAGACCUUCGGGUCUAGUGGCGCACGGGUGCGUAACGCGUGGGAACCUGCCCUUAGGUUCGGAAUAACUCCCCGAAAGGGGUGCUAAUACCGGAUAAUGUCUUCGGACCAAAGAUUUAUCGCCUUUGGAUGGGCCCGCGUUGGAUUAGCUAGUUGGUAGGGUAAAAGCCUACCAAGGCGACGAUCCAUAGCUGGUCUGAGAGGAUGAUCAGCCACACUGGGACUGAGACACGGCCCAGACCCCUAGGGGGGGGAGCAGGGGGGAAUAUUGGAAAAUGGGCAAAAGCCUGACCCAGCAAUGCCGGGGGGGUGAUGAAGGCCUUAGGGUUGUAAAGCUUUUUUCCCCGGGAUGAUAAUGACAGUACCGGGAGAAUAAGCCCCGGCUAACUCCGU